AUUGAACGCUGGCGGCAGGCCUAACACAUGCAAGUCGAACGAGUGCCGGACGGGUGAGUAAUGUCUGGGAAAAUGCCCGCUGGAGGGGGAUAACUCCUGUAAACGGUAGCUCUUACAGCAUACCCUCGUAUGUGCCCAGAUGGGAUUCGCUAGUAGGUGGGGUAACGGCUCACCUAGGCGACGAUCCCUAGAUGGUCUGAGAGGAUGACCAGCCACACUGGAACUGAGAAACGGUACAGACUCCUACGGGCGGCAGCAGUGGGGAAUAUUGCACAAUGGGGGCAAGCCUGAUGCAGCCAUGCCGCGUGUAUGAAGAAGGCCUGCGGGUUGUAAAGUACUUUCAGCGGGGAGGCGUUACCCGCAGAAGAAGCACCGGCUAACUCCGUGCCAGCAGCCGCGGUAAUUC
rnacentral:rRNA from 1 species